rnacentral:rRNA from 1 species
AGCGAACGCUGGCGGCAGGCCUAACACAUGCCAGUCGAACGAACUCUUCGGAGUUAGUGGCGGACGGGUGAGUAACACGUGGGAACGUGCCUUUUGGUUCGGAAUAACUCAGGGAAACUUGUGCUAAUACCGAAUGUGCCCUUCGGGGGAAAGAUUUAUCGCCAUUAGAGCGGCCCGCGUCUGAUUAGCUAGUUGGUGAGGUAACGGCUCACCAAGGCGACGAUCAGUAGCUGGUCUGAGAGGAUGACCAGCCACACUGGGACUGAGACACGGCCCAGACUCCUACGGGAGGCAGCAGUGGGGAAUCUUGCGCAAUGGGCGAAAGCCUGACGCAGCCAUGCCGCGUGAAUGAUGAAGGUCUUAGGAUUGUAAAAUUCUUUCACCGGGGACGAUAAUGACGGUACCCGGAGAAGAAGCCCCGGCUAACUUCGU